GCUUAAGUCUAAGUGGUCUGGUCC
rnacentral:siRNA from 1 species